rnacentral:rRNA from 1 species
ACAGCAGCAGCCGCGGGAAUACAGAGGGUGCAAGCGUUAAUCGGAAUUACUGGGCGUAAAGCGCGCGUAGGUGGUUUGUUAAGUUGGAUGUGAAAGCCCCGGGCUCAACCUGGGAACUGCAUCCAAAACUGGCAAGCUAGAGUACGGUAGAUGGUGGUGGAAUUUCCUGUGUAGCGGUGAAAUGCGUAGAUAUAGGAAGGAACACCAGUGGCGAAGGCGACCACCUGGACUGAUACUGACACUGAGGUGCGAAAGCGUGGGGAGCAAACAGGAUUAGAUACCCCUGUAGUCCCUGUCUCUUAUAC